rnacentral:rRNA from 1 species
UGCGGAAUUUCUACGAAAGUGGGAAGUGCCUUCGGGAGCCGCAAGACAGGUGCUGCGUGGCUGUCGUCAGCUCGUGUCGUGAGAUGUUGGGUUAAGUCCCGCAACGAGCGCAACCCUUAUCUUUAGUUACCAUCAUUCAGUUGGGGACUCUAAAGACACUGCCCCGGUCAACGGGGAGGAAGGUGGGGAUGACGUCAAGUCCUCAUGGCCCUUAUGUCCAGGGCUACACACGUGCUACAAUGGGCAGUACAAAGGGCAGCGAGCCUGCGAAGGUGAGCCAAUCCCAAAAAGCUGUUCGUAGUUCGGAUUGGAGUCUGCAACUCGACUCCAUGAAGCUGGAAUCGCUAGUAAUCGCGGAUCAGCAUGCCCGCGGUCCGAAUACGUUCCGGGCCUU